rnacentral:lncRNA from 1 species
CCCGAUAUCACAUCGAUAACUCCUCGGGCUUGUGGGUUUGGUUGCGGCUGUGCUUCUCGGGGGAGCUCCCUGGUCUCCUCUCUUGGGGCUUCCGACCCUUCUCUGCCAACUACAUACUGUACUAACUGCCCGUUCUGAACAUUCUUUUCUAUUAAAUCUUUCAAGUUAGUGCAAUCUUCUGUCGUGUGACCCCGACUCUGGUGAUACGCACAAUACUUGUUCCGACCCCUCUUCCCUGGCUUCGGGAUCGUUUGACAUGGUUCGAAAAAG